rnacentral:lncRNA from 1 species
CGCUAUUCCAAAGAAAACACUCACGCUAGCCACGAGGACAAAAAGCAUUUAUUUUUGUCUGGGCAAAUUUGCCUUCAGACCAAAAGCUUCUCAAGAUGGCAAAUGUUCUGCCUGCUAGGAUGUUGCCAGAUAAAACAAUUACUUACUAGAGUCAAAAUAACUCCAAAAGCUAUGCACUGAAGAAGGCAAUGAACAAUGAAAAGGGGUCAGGCGUGGUGGCUCACGCCUAUAAUUCCAACACUUUGGGAGGCUGAGGCCAGAGGGCGGCUUGAGUCCAGGAGUUCAAGGCUGCAGUGAGCUAUGAUUGCACCACUGCACUUCAGCCUGGGUGUCAGAGCGAGACCCUGUCUCUAAAUAUAUAAAUUAAAAAGAAUGAAAAGAAUACUUCACCUCAGACCUCAGCCUUUCAUCCUUCAGCUGAAUGGAAUAUUUGGAUCUCACCUAUGAGCUCAAUAAGAAAAGAAAAACACAAAUGACUGAAAGCAGGACUUCAGCAGCCCUGAGAAAUCAUGGACGGGAAUCCACCUUUGUUUACUACAAAACACCCUGCUUCACGGUUUCUCAUUGUGCUACCUUCCUUCGGGGGAACCCCAGGAUUUCACAGGCUGAUAUCCCCAGCUACAUCCAAGUUUCCAGAAAUGAGGAUCCAUAGGCACAAAGUGAGGUGUCCCCAACCCUCCCUUUUUACAGCCCAUGCCUGAUAUUUAUCGGAACGUCCACAAGGCGAUGGUGAACGGUGGCCAAAUGAGAAGCUCAGUGUCUGGGAAAAUGAUUGAAAAUGGCCAAGUGCCACAGUGAGAGUUGUUUGUUCUGGGAAUGGAAGGAGGAAAUUGUCAGAGGAAGUGAAAUAGGAAAUGAAGAGAUCAAAGGGAGGAGGAAAUAAGAUUGAAUUGAGCCCUUUUUGGAUUCAACUUUGCACUCUUAACCCAUGUGAGGCAAAAAGAUUAGCCUUUAAACAGCUGGAGUUGGGGAGAAACACUUUCCAACGGGUGCAUCCUGGCGACUGUUAGCUCCCACAUCCCACCCCACAAAUGGACUGCAGCAGGGGAGCUGAGGGAAGCCAGAUCCGUUUCCUACAGAAAAUCCAGUGUUAGAGUUCUUGAAUUGCAAGCAACAGAAACCAAGUCUGGCAAACCCAAGGAAAAUGAAUUCACUGGAGAGACAUGGAAGCCACAUCGUGAAAUGGAAAACCCCAGAAAGAGCUGGAGAAGGGACAAGAAUGAGAGCUGCUUGGAGCUGCAGCAAAGACAGAAAGAGACAAAGCAUGCCAAGUCCACGGUGUUGUGAAAGCACUCAAUAAAGAUUCAUUCUUCCCCCUUCUGUCUCAAGCUCCCUUUCACCAAAUUCUUCAUCCAUUCCAACACAUACUGUGCGCCUACUCUGUGCAAAGCACAUUGAGCAGUAUGAAGAAUGUAAAAAUGAAUAACUCAGUCCCUGCCAAAAAGUCAGCCAUGCCCUCACCCAGGGUAUUAUUUUAUGUUGUUGAGAAAUACCCAAAUGAAUCAUUCAUCUCUGAAAU